rnacentral:misc_RNA from 1 species
AAAAUGUUGUUCCUCACCUGAUAUUUCUGGUAAAAGAUUAAGUUCACGCUCCAAACUCCAUAUAGAUUCAUUCUGAUUGUUAAUAUUCACAAUAUACUCCUGGAAGUAACCAUUAAAGGUUAUUACUGAUAGGGUGGCUCUACAAGCAACACAUCCAGUUGAUGUGUCAGCAACCUUGUCCACCUUGCGCACUACCACAUAACUUUUCACUCCUGCAGGAACA